GAUGAAGAACGUAGCGAAAUGCGAUAAGUAAUGUGAAUUGCAGAAUUCAGUGAAUCAUCGAAUCUUUGAACGCACAUUGCGCCGCCUGGUAGUCCGGGGGGCAUGCCUGUUCGAGCGUCAUUUCACCACUCAAGCCUCGCUUGGUAUUGGGCAACGCGGUCCGCCGCGUGCCUCAAAUCGACCGGCUGGGUCUUCUGUCCCCUAAGCGUUGUGGAAACUAUUCGCUAAAGGGUGUUCGGGAGGCUACGCCGUAAAACAACCCCAUUUCUAAGGUUGACCUCGGAUCAGGUAGGGAUACCCGCUGAACUUAAGCAUAUCAAUAAGCGGAGGA
rnacentral:misc_RNA from 1 species